GGCAGACGGUGGAUUAAUCAAUUUGAUGAUUUUAAAUAUGUCGAUUGUUAAUUUAGAUGAGUGUAAUAUUACUUACGUUUAAACAAUAAAGAAAUAUAACGGAUUAUCUUCUGCUAUCAUUGUUUUCUGAGGUAAAUUAUGCGUUGGAAAAAAACAAACGGAUAGUUCAAAUAAUUGUAGCCUAAGAAAUUGUGGCUAAAGCCCAUUUUUAUUGUUUAUAUGAUUUUAGUUUGAUAUAUUGUUAAUGUGAACCGUUAAACGGACGGACCGACCGAACAAUUUCAGUGAGGGAAAAGGUAACCGUUAACUUAAGGGGUUGUCAGACACUCAGGCGUCUGCCUGUUUUUGGUAACAAAAAUCAACUUAACCGAGGUUAUAUGGAUGGUAGGAACAACCACUUAAGUUGUGUACUAACAUAUGCAAUUAUAUAUAAUAAAUGCAUGGUGUCGUCUAUAAAAGAAUAACAUAACGUUACGUUACUCGAAGCUACAGUGACAUCUGCAGGCGAGGCUUUACUUAAAUGCCUUGUUUGUUCAUGAGUUUUUGACCUGUUUCAUAUUUUAUCAUAGUUUUUACGUUCAUUUUGAAGUUAUGGUAACUUAUUUGUUUAAGAUACGUUUGUUAGGCGCGAACACGGGAGGUCGCGCCCAGCUUGAGCUUCCGCAUUAUUAGCACUGUUAGCUCCACUGUUAUUUGCGAGAGACGAAAAAAUGUUUGAAUAAAGAGCCUAGGUAGGGGGAAGUACACAAAAUACAUGCGUUUUUUUCUAGUGUAACGUUUAUUAUUAUGUUGGAGGCAAUUCCUCAAAAUAUACUUUAUAAAAUAUACUAUUGUAAACAGAAUAUGGUUGGUAUAUCAACCAUUAUGAUUUGAUAAUAAUGUAUGUUUUUUUUUCUCUUCCCCCUGUACUUUUGUUACAUCAUUUUUUGCUGUCUAGACAUUUUUGUGGUAAGUCAUUUAUAUAACAAUCUCUGUUGCAACAUAAUACUUUUUUUCUGAACAGUUAACCUUGCACAUGAUAUUUUAAUAGUAAUGUUUAAUUUUUCUUUCUUUUGCUCUUUUGAAAACAUUUAACUGCUUUAGCUAAACCUCAGCCAAAUUCCUGGUUUUGCUGGGCAACAGCACCCAUUUCAUACAAUUUAUUAUAGCGAACCCAAAGGCUCUUUUCAGAGCCAUCCACAUUGCGUCACUGAUUGGACAUCUAAUUCAUCUUUAUUGGACAUCUAAUUCAUCUUUCAGCUUGCCUCUUAAAAACUGCCAGGAAACCCAAAAAAAAACCACAGAUUCAACUAAAAAAAAAAGCCUAUAAUUUCUACCCAAAAAAAACGACCCAUUUUUUUACCCCACCCAGCCAAUCUGUUGCCCUAACCCCAAAACACCGACUUUCCCCAAAACAGAACGUCCCUUUAACUUUUUGCUUUGACAGAAAGAGUGAGAGCAGAACUACCUACAGCUCCAGUGUGCCCUGCUGCCUUGAGUGUCUUCACAAAGCAACGUUGAUUAGAGGACUGCGUUGGGAAAUCAACACCAUCAACACACACAAUAAUUUACUAUAGUUUUAAAAUUACAUAAUUUCCUAUAGUCUUUUAGACUGCUUAUAACAGAUAAUACACAUUACAGUACUUUUAAAAGUCAUUAAUAUAUCAGUAAAAAAAAAAUUGUUUUAGCAAGUUCAUCUUUGAAACGUAUUACAUUUAUAUCUGAGUCUUUUCACAUUUGCCUAUACUCUACUAAUUAAUUGCAUUAGUAAUAUUGCCUUUGGUUAUCAUUUCUGUAAAAUAUUGAGGUUAACAGUUCAACAGUUCCAUUGCUAUAGUCUUGUGUGUUUGUAUAUCUAAUUUCUUGACUGUUUUAACGGUGAAAUUUUAGUACAGUACUUAAAUAUAUCAGUAAAAUAUUCUAAGUUUGACUGUUGUUGUAACUGCUAUUUGAAUAGACUACAUUUAAAGGUCAUUAAAAUAUUUUGGUUUGCCAAGUUCCUCUUUGAAUCUUACCACAUUGUAACAUUUACCUUUAUUAAUUGAUUGCAUUACUGAUAUUGCUUUUGGUUAACAUUUUUGUACAAUAUUGGGGUUGACAGUGUUUGACAGUAUAACAGUUCAAUUGCUAUAGUUUAGUGUGUUUGUAUAUUUAAUUUGUUGACUUGUUACUGAAAUUUCAGUCCUGUACUUAAAAAGCUAAUUAAUAUAUCAGUAAUAUAUUUACAGUUUGACUCUUGUUGUAAUUGAUAUUUGAGUGCAGUACAUUUAAAGGUAAUUAAAAUAUCAGUAAAGUA